rnacentral:lncRNA from 1 species
GCUACACACAAAUCAUAUUUUAUGUUCAACACAUGAACAAUCUAAUUUUUGGACAAGCAUCUCAUGCUUUCUAUUUUCUCUCUUUCUUUCUUUUCUAUUUUUUUCUUCCUUUCUCUUAUCUUUUUCACUUUAGAUUUUUUUUCACCUCUUCCUUAUCUAAUUCCAUGUCCAAACCAAUUUUUGGAUGAUUUUUAUAACAUAUGGGACACCUUUUAUAUAAGGAAUGAAUGGGCGCCACAUAAAACAUCAAGGGGCACCAACUCUUGGCAUCCCA